rnacentral:rRNA from 1 species
CCUACGGGCGGCAGCAGUGAGGAAUAUUGGUCAAUGGGCGAAAGCCUGAACCAGCCAAGUCGCGUGAAGGAUGACUGCCCUAUGGAUUGUAAACUUCUUUUAUCUGGGAAUAACGCCGCCCAUGCGUGGGCUGAUGAAUGUACCCGAAGAACAAGCAUCGGCUAACUCCGUGCCAGCAGCCGCGGUAAUACGGAAGGUCCGAGCGUUAUCCGGAUUUAUUGGGGUUAAAGGGAGCUGAGGGGGGAUGUCAAUGCAGCUGGUAAAAUUGCGGGCUCAACCGUCGUACAGCAGUUGAAACUGGCAGUCUUGAGUAGACGAGAAGUAUGCGGAAGGCGUGGUGUAGCGGUGAAAUGCAUAGAUAUCACGAAGAACUCCGAUUGCGAAGGCAGCAUACUGGAGCGCUACUGACGCUGAGGCACGAAAGCGUGGGUAUCGAACAGGAUUAGAUACCCCAGUAGUC